GAGUUUGAUCGUGGCUCAGAUUGAACGCUGGCGGCAUGCCUUACACAUGCAAGUCGAACGGCAGCAUGAUCUAGCUUGCUAGAUUGAUGGCGAGUGGCGAACGGGUGAGUAAUACAUCGGAACGUGCCCUGUAGUGGGGGAUAACUAGUCGAAAGAUUAGCUAAUACCGCAUACGACCUGAGGGUGAAAGUGGGGGACCGCAAGGCCUCAUGCUAUAGGAGCGGCCGAUGUCUGAUUAGCUAGUUGGUGGGGUAAAGGCCCACCAAGGCGACGAUCAGUAGCUGGUCUGAGAGGACGAUCAGCCACACUGGGACUGAGACACGGCCCAGACUCCUACGGGAGGCAGCAGUGGGGAAUUUUGGACAAUGGGCGAAAGCCUGAUCCAGCAAUGCCGCGUGUGUGAAGAAGGCCUUCGGU
rnacentral:rRNA from 1 species